AAAGUCCUNGAGUCAAAACGGGGCACGUCAGGUUUCCGUAAGGGACAAUUGAUUCGGGCAAAAUAGGGACAAAGGACCCCCCGACCGAUCACGCAUCUACAUACAAGACUUCGAGCAACACUUGGGCGUCCGAUGCUUGCAAGCUAAAUAAGCAAAGCAAGGGCGAACGUCCAUAGGAGCUUCAGGGUCUACGUUGCACAAAACAUUUCGCACGACAUAGAGUAGGGGCCAUGGGACUAGAGAAUUCCAUCAAAAUAGGUAUGCUGCACAGGGGGCCAAGCCAAUCCAAGGCAAAAUAUUUAGCACUCGGACAGAAUUGAACAGGUUUGAACCAGCGGUUGUCGCUGCCGAGGCAGGGAACCAACCAGCCGAUACAUACCAAUCACCA
rnacentral:misc_RNA from 1 species